UACGAAGGGUGCUAGCGUUGUUCGGAAUUACUGGGCGUAAAGGGCGCGUAGGCUGUGCUGUAAGUCAGGCGUGAAAUCCCCGGGCUCAACCUGGGAAUUGCGUUUGAUACUGCGGCGCUGGAAUGCAGGAGAGGAUGGCGGAAUUCCCAGUGUAGAGGUGAAAUUCGUAGAUAUUGGGAAGAAUACCGGUGGCGAAGGCGGCAUCCUGGACCGGCAUUGACGCUGAGGAGCGAAAGCCAGGGGAGCAAACGGG
rnacentral:rRNA from 1 species